AACCGGCGAAACAAACUCAGCGGGCUU
rnacentral:piRNA from 1 species